AUCGGCGGCAGUAGCUAGGCGCGGUAGAAAGAUGAUAAUUUGCGAGCGGCGACAAACAGGCCGAGAGAGCUGACAAAAACUAGCACUUUCGACUUUGACGGAGGAGUGUGGGGACUGUAAUGAUUGCUGUUUCCUUGAAUAUUAGUCGUACACGUAUGUUGUGGUUGUUAAUAUAUUUUUUUUAAAAAAAAGGUCGGCAAAAGAUUCGCCGAAUUAUAUUAAUAGAAGAAAGAUAUAAAAAAAAAGAACAUGUGCUCAGGGACCAGCUGCUGAUUAUAUUAAUAGAGGAAAAAGUCGUGUCUAUCUGUCAAGGUCAUUGUUAAACGCCAAACGAUGUCGCUGAACGUCUCUUUGAUGAGGCGAGGGACCUCUCUCGGUCGUCGCUCUU
rnacentral:lncRNA from 7 species